rnacentral:rRNA from 1 species
UGUCUAGUAUAGCACUUUAUACUGUGAACUGCGAAUGGCUCAUUAAAUCAGUUAUAAUUUAUUUGAUAAUACCUUACUACUUGGAUAACCGUGGUAAUUCUAGUGCUAAUACAUGCUUCAAGACCCGACUUCUGGAAGGGUCGUAUUUAUUAGAUUAAAAACCAAUCGUAGCAAUACGUUUACUGGUGAAUCAUGAUAACUUUUCGAAUCGCAUAGCUCUGCUGGCGAUGGUUCAAUCAAAUUUCUGCCCUAUCACCUUUCGAUGGUAGUAUAGAGGACUACCAUGGGCGCAACGGGUAACGGAGAAUUAGGGUUCGAUUCCGGAGAGGGAGCCUGAGAAACGGCUACCACAUCCAAGGAAGGCAGCAGGCGCGCAAAUUACCCAAUCCCGAUACGGGGAGGUAGUGACAAUAAAUAACAAUACAGAGCUUUUUAGUUUUGUAAUUGUAAUGAGAACAAUUUAAACCUCUUAACGAGAACCAAUUGGAGGGCAAGUCUGGUGCCAGCAGCCGCGGUAAUUCCAGCUCCAAUAGCGUAUAUUAAAGUUGUUGCAGUUAAAACGCUCGUAGUUGAACUUUGGUCUUGGCUGGGCGGUCUUUGCGAAUGCAUAGCACUUCUCUGGCUGAGACUUUCCUUCUGGCGAACUAUUGUGCUAUUUAUUUAGUGCAAUAGGGAACCAGGACUUUUACUUUGAAAAAAUUAGAGUGUUUAAAGCAGGCGUCUGCCCGAAUACAUUAGCAUGGAAUAAUAAAAUAGGACUUUGGUUUUAUUUUGUUGGUUUUCGAAACCGAAGUAAUGAUUAAUAGGGAUAGUUGGGGGCGUUACUAUUGAGGAGUCAGAGGUGAAAUUCUUGGAUUUCCUCAAGAGUAUCUACUGCGAAGGCAUUCGCCAAGGAUGUUUUCAUUAAUCAAGAACGAAAGUUGGGGGAUCGAAGACGAUCAGAUACCGUCGUAGUCUCAACAGUAAACUAUGCCGACUUGGGAUCGGACAAUGUUCAAUUUUGACUUGUUCGGCACCACAUGAGAAAUCAAAGUUUUUAGUUCCGGGGG